rnacentral:rRNA from 1 species
UCAGCUUGUUGGUGGGGUAGUGGCCUACCAAGGCGACGACGGGUAGCCGGCCUGAGAGGGCGACCGGCCACACUGGGACUGARACACGGCCCAGACUCCUACGGGAGGCAGCAGUGGGGAAUAUUGCGCAAUGGGCGGAAGCCUGACGCAGCGACGCCGCGUGGGGGAUGACGGCCUUCGGGUUGUAAACCUCUUUCAGCAGGGACGAAGUUGACGUGUACCUGCAGAAGAAGCGCCGGCUAACUACGUGCCAGCAGCCGCGGUAAUACGUAGGGCGCAAGCGUUGUCCGGAAUUAUUGGGCGUAAAGAGCUCGUAGGUGGCUUGUCGCGUCUGCCGUGAAAGCCCAUGGCUUAACUGUGGGUCUGCGGUGGAUACGGGCUGGCUAGAGGUAGGUAGGGGCAAGCGGAAUUCCUGGUGUAGCGGUGAAAUGCGCAGAUAUCAGGAGGAACACCGGUGGCGAAGGCGGCUUGCUGGGCCUUACCUGACGCUGAGGAGCGAA